ensembl:lncRNA novel transcript
AGAUUGCCUAUCCAGGUUAUUCACCAAACUCGGCACUUAAUGACUUUUAGCUGGUUCCAAAAAUUGAUUCUAACAUCAAAGGAUAAAGAUUUAUGACCAAUGAACAUAUUCAAAUCCUAAAGAAGACCUUGGGGUACAAUGGCAGCAUUGUUGGGGAAGAGAAAAGACACACCAUAAUCUUUUCAGUGCACUGGGCUUCUAAGAAACUUAAUCAGAACCUGACGGAUCAUCUCUGAAUACCAUAGUUUCAGAAUAUUAACAAAAGUCAUAAUAACUGUGAAUUAUUUUUGCAAAGUACGUAUCACUAGAACCAAGAUGUUUAAGUAGAAAUUUUGAAACCUAAGAGACCACAUCACUGUCAUCUUCUUGGUCAAUACUUGAACCAGGCAAAAAAAAAACCAACACUUCCUUUGAAAUCUCAUGAAGGAAAGCAGUGAGGAGUCUUCUACCCUUGAAGCAGCAGGAUGUACUCCACCUGAACAAAGAAAAAACAGUCAUGAAGAAAAAACAUGUUGGCUAACUGCUAUCCUCUCGUUGGCAAGAUGC